GACGAACGCUGGCGGCGUGCUUAACACAUGCAAGUCGAACGGAAAGGCCCUGCUUUUGUGGGGUGCUCGAGUGGCGAACGGGUGAGUAACACGUGAGUAACCUGCCCUUGACUUUGGGAUAACUUCAGGAAACUGGGGCUAAUACCGGAUAGGAGCUCCUGCUGCAUGGUGGGGGUUGGAAAGUUUCGGCGGUUGGGGAUGGACUCGCGGCUUAUCAGCUUGUUGGUUGGGUAGUGGCUUACCAAGGCUUUGACGGGUAGCCGGCCUGAGAGGGUGACCGGACACAUUGGGACUGAGAUGCGGCACAGCCUACUACGGGAGGCAGCAGUGGGGAAUAUUGCACAAUGGGAGGAAGCCUGAUGCAGCAACGCCGCGUGCGGGAUGACGGCAUUCGGGUUGUAAACCGCUUUCGCCUGUGACGAAGUGUGAGUGACGGUAAUGGGAAAAGAAGCACCGGCUAACUACGUG
rnacentral:rRNA from 1 species